rnacentral:rRNA from 1 species
GACGAACGCUGGCGGCGUGCCUAAUACAUGCAAGUCGAACGCUUCUUUCCUCCCGAGUGCUUGCACUCAAUUGGAAAGAGGAGAGGCGGACGGUUGAGUAACACUUGGGUAACCUACCCAUCAGUGGGGGAUAACACUUGGAAACAGGUGCUAAUACCGCAUAACAGUUUAUGCCGCAUGGCAUAAGAGUGAAAGGCGCUUUCGGGUGUCGCUGAUGGAUGGACCCGCGGUGCAUGAGCUAGUUGGAGAGGUAACGGCUGACCAAGGCCACGAUGCAUAGCCGACCUGAGAGGGUGAUCGGCCACACUGGGACUGAGACACGGCCCAGACUCCUACGGGAGGCAGCAGUAGGGAAUCUUCGGCAAUGGACGAAAGUCUGACCGAGCAACGCCGCGUGAGUGAAGAAGGUUUUCGGAUCGGAAAACUCUGUUGUUAGUGAAGAACAAGGACGUUAGUAACUGAGCGUCCCCUGACGGUAUCUAACCAGAAAGCCACGGCUAACUACGUG